rnacentral:rRNA from 1 species
AUUGAACGCUGGCGGCAGGCCUAACACAUGCAAGUCGAGCGGAUGAAGGGAGCUUGCUCCUGGAUUCAGCGGCGGACGGGUGAGUAAUGCCUAGGAAUCUGCCUGGUAGUGGGGGAUAACGUCCGGAAACGGGCGCUAAUACCGCAUACGUCCUGAGGGAGAAAGUGGGGGAUCUUCGGACCUCACGCUAUCAGAUGAGCCUAGGUCGGAUUAGCUAGUUGGUGGGGUAAAGGCCUACCAAGGCGACGAUCCGUAACUGGUCUGAGGGGAUGAUCAGUCACACUGGAACUGAGACACGGUCCAGACUCCUACGGGAGGCAGCAGUGGGGAAUAUUGGACAAUGGGCGAAAGCCUGAUCCAGCCAUGCCGCGUGUGUGAAGAAGGUCUUCGGAUUGUAAAGCACUUUAAGUUGGGAGGAAGGGCAGUAAGUUAAUACCUUGCUGUUUUGACGUUACCAACAGAAUAAGCACCGGCUAACUUCGU